UACGUAGGGUGCAAGCGUUGUCCGGAAUUAUUGGGCGUAAAGAGCUCGUAGGCGGUUUGUCGCGUCUGCCGUGAAAGUCCGGGGCUCAACUCCGGAUCUGCGGUGGGUACGGGCAGACUAGAGUGAUGUAGGGGAGACUGGAAUUCCUGGUGUAGCGGUGAAAUGCGCAGAUAUCAGGAGGAACACCGAUGGCGAAGGCAGGUCUCUGGGCAUUAACUGACGCUGAGGAGCGAAAGCAUGGGGAGCGAACAGGAUUAGAUACCGG
rnacentral:rRNA from 1 species